AGGGGGUUUGGGAUCCUGGCUCAGAUUGAACGUUGGCGGCAGGCUUAACACAUGCAAGUCGAACGAGAACGUCCCUUCGGGGACUAGUAGAGUGGCGGACGGGUGAGUAACGCGUAGGAAUCUACCCAGUAGUGGGGGAUAACCCGAGGAAACUCGGGCUAAUACCGCAUACAUCCCACGGGAAAAAGAGGGCCUCUGUUUCAUGCUCUCGCUAUUGGAGGAGCCUGCGUCGGAUUAGCUUGUUGGUAGGGUAAUGGCCUACCAAGGCGACGAUCCGUAGCUGGUCUGAGAGGACGAUCAGCCACACUGGGACUGAGACACGGCCCAGACUCCUACGGGAGGCAGCAGUGGGGAAUAUUGGACAAUGGGCGCAAGCCUGAUCCAGCCAUGCCGCGUGUGUGAUGAAGGCCUUCGGGUUGUAAAGCACUUUCAGGGGUGAAGAAAAGCACUUGGUCAAUACCCGGGUGUCUUGACGUUAGCUCCAGAAGAAGCACCGGCUAACUCCGUGCCAGCAGCCGCGGUAAUACGGAGGGUGCGAACGUUAAUCGGAAUUACUGGGCGUAAAGCGCGCGUAGGCGGCUCGCUAAGUGGGAUGUGAAAGCCCUGGGCUCAACCUGGGAAUUGCAUUCCAAACUGGCGGACUAGAGUACGGUAGAGGGAGGUGGAAUUUAGGGUGUA
rnacentral:rRNA from 1 species